GUUGAAACACCAGUUCCCGUACGAUCAUCGAAGUUAAGCAACGUCGAGCCUGAUCAGUACCUAGAUGGGUGACCGCUUGGGAAUACCAGGUACAGU